ACUGAAGUUAGUUGGUUGCUGUGGGAAGAAGGCAGAGUCAGUGCCUAGAGGAGCUGCCUACAAGAAACAUCAAGGAGAUCCUGCAGAGCCUCCAAGAGUGCUUAAAAAGUCCUGACACUAUUCAAGUUGUGUGUUAUCAGAUUUUGGCUGAUCCAGUACAGCUGCUGUCACAAGUUCCCAAGGACCAGCAUUCCACAAGGUCAACAUCAAACUGCUGUCUCCUUCUUGCUGAAAGCAGUAGGUCCAGACAUGCUAAAACUUCAAAUUUUGCUGCUACACAAUUCCUGUCUUAAAACCUUUCCUGGCUCCUAGUAGUCCCUCUAGAAAGAUCCUGAUUAUUCAGGGUGAAUUGGAUUGGGACUCAUUUACAUUCCAUGGCAGUAACCAUGCUCAAAUAGGAUUUCUGGAAAUCAGUACCUGGAGAAAGGCCACUGAAGUAGAAGUGCUUCAGUUGGGAAAAAGAGUGAAGCACCCAGUCACCACUUCCUGAUGGGCCCCCCGCCUGCCUGACAGCUCCUGAAAAUUGGUCUGGCAACCAUCGCCGUUCCAGUAGAUGAUCAACCGGCACCUACGUGCUUGGGAAAAAGAUGAGAAUAACAUCGGAAUAACAGAGUGGGUCAGAUUGGAAGGGACCACAAUGGAUCAUCUGGUCCAACCUCUCUGCUAAAGCAGGAUUGUGUUCUGAUGGUUCUUGAACAUCUCCAGUGGAGGAGACUUCACAACCAACAUCACUUCUGGCCAAGCUGUUCCAGUGCACGGCCACCUGCACAAUGAAGAAAUUCUUCCUCAUAUUCAAGUGCAAGUUCCUAUGAAUCUGUUUUUGCCUGUUACCUCUUGUCCCAUUGCUUGGCACCACCAAGAGCUUGGUUCCAUUCUCUUGACCCGCUCCCUUCAGAUACUGACAGACACUGUUGAGGUCCCCUCUUCUCAGUUGUCCCUUCUUGAGGCUGAACAGUUCCCAGUUCCCUCAGCCUGUCCUUAUGAGAGAGAUGCUCCAGUCCCUAAAUCCCCUUUGCAGCCCUCUGUUUGACCUGCUGCAGGAGCUCCAGCUCCUCAGCUUCUGCUGAGGAGGCCAGAACUGCAUCAAGUGGCCUCACCAGGGCUGAAUAGAGGGGGAGGAUCAUCUCGCUCAACCUGCUGGGAAUGCUCUGCUCAAUGCACCCCAGGAUACACGUGGGAACAGUGCUGGCUCAUGGGCAGCUUGUUGUCCACCAGGUCCUUCUUUGCAGAGCUGCUUUCCCCCCAGGUCAGCCCCCAGCCUGAACAGGUGUCUGGGCUUCUUCCUCCCCAGGUGCAGCACUCUGCAUUCACCUUUGUUGAAUUUCAGAUGGUUAAAAAAAAAAAAAAAAUAUAUAUAUAUAUAUAUAUAUAAACACACACACACAUAUAUAUACACACACACACACACACACAUAUAUAUACCCAUAUAUAUACACAUACAUAUAUAUGUUUUAUUAUAACAAUUUAUGUUAUAUAUAAUUUUACAUAUUAUUACAUUAUAACAUAAAUUGUUACAUAUUACGUACU